rnacentral:rRNA from 1 species
UACGAAGGGGGCUAGCGUUGCUCGGAAUUACUGGGCGUAAAGCGCACGUAGGCGGCUUUCUAAGUCGGGGGUGAAAUCCUGGAGCUCAACUCCAGAACUGCCUUCGAUACUGGAGAGCUCGAGUCCGGGAGAGGUGAGUGGAACUGCGGAGUGUAGAGGUGAAAUUCGUAGAUAUUCGCAAGAACACCAGUGGCGAAGGCGGCUCAGCUG